GCCUCCGUGGUGAAACUGGUAGACGCAAUAGACUCAAAAUCUGUCGAGCGUGAGCUCAUGUCGGUUCGAGUCCGACCGGAGGCACCA
rnacentral:tRNA from 1 species